rnacentral:rRNA from 1 species
ACUUCUACGGGAGACAGCAGUAGGGAAUAUUGGACAAUGGGCUAAAGCCUGAUCCAGCAAUGCCGCGUGUGUGAAGAAGGCCUGAGGGUUGUAAAGCACUUUCAGUUGGGAAGAAAAGCUUNGGGUUAAUACCCUAAAGUCUUGACGUUACCAACAGAAGAAGCACCGGCUAACUCUGUGCCAGCAGCCGCGGUAAUACAGAGGGUGCGAGCGUUAAUCGGAAUUACUGGGCGUAAAGCGUGCGUAGGCUGUUAAGUCAGUCGGAUGUGAAAGCCCAAGGCUUAACCUUGGAACUGCAUUCGAUACUGCUUAGCUAGAGUACAGUAGAGGGAAGCGGAAUUCCUAGUGUAGCGGUGAAAUGCGUAGAUAUUAGGAAGAACACCAGUGGCGAAGGCGGCUUCCUGGACUGAUACUGACGCUGAGGUACGAAAGCGUGGGGAGCAAACAGGAUUAGAUACCCUGGUAGUCCACGCCCUAAACGAUGAGAACUAGAUGUUGGGGGAAAUUAAUCCCUUAGUAUCGCAGCUAACGCGAUAAGUUCUCCGCCUGGGGAGUACGACCGCAAGGUUAAAACUCAAAUGAAUUGACGGGGGCCCGCACAAGCGGUGGAGCAUGUGGUUUAAUUCGAUGCAACGCGAAGAACCUUACCUGGCCUUGACAUCCUNGGAACCUCGCAGAGAUGUGCAUGGCU